UUGCUUAGUGGCGAACGGGUGAGUAACACGUGAAUAACCUGCCCUGGGAGUGGGGGGACAACAUCCGGAAACGGAUGCUAAUACCGCAUAAGACCACGGUACCGCAUGGUACUGAGGCCAAAGGAGCAAUUCGCUCUGGGAUGGAUUCGCGUCUGAUUAGCUAGUUGGUGGGGUAAUGGCUCACCAAGGCGACGAUCAGUAGCCGGACUGAGAGGUUGAACGGCCACAUUGGGACUGAGACACGGCCCAGACUCCUACGGGAGGCAGCAGUGGGGAAUAUUGCACAAUGGACGAAAGUCUGAUGCAGCGACGCCGCGUGGAGGAAGAAGGUUUUCGGAUUGUAAACUCCUGUCUUCGGGGACGAUAAUGACGGUACCCGAGGAGGAAGCCACGGCUAACUACGUGCCAGCAGCCGCGGUAAAACGUAGGUGGCAAGCGUUGUCCGGAAUUACUGGGUGUAAAGGGAGCGCAGGCGGGCUGGUAAGUUGAAUGUGAAAUCUAUGGGCUCAACCCAUAGACUGCGUUCAAAACUACUGGUCUUGAGUGAUGGAGAGGCAGGCGGAAUUCCCGGUGUAGCGGUGGAAUGCGUAGAUAUCGGGAGGAACACCAGUGGCGAAGGCGGCCUGCUGGACAUUAACUGACGCUGAGGCUCGAAAGUGUGGGGAGCAAACAGGAUUAGAUACCCUGGUAGUCCACACCGUAAACGAUGAUUACUAGGUGUGGGGGGAUAGACCCCCUCCGUGCCGCAGCUAACGCAAUAAGUAAUCCACCUGGGGAGUACGUUCGCAAGAAUGAAACUCAAAGGAAUUGACGGGGGCCCGCACAAGCAGUGGAGUAUGUGGUUUAAUUCGACGCAACGCGAAGAACCUUACCAGGUCUUGACAUCCCUUGAAUAGCCUAGAGAUAGGUGAAGCCCUUCGGGGCAAGG
rnacentral:rRNA from 1 species